GCGAGGCGGUUACGCUAUUCAAGAACAUUAAAGUGCGCCGGAUUUGCGCAUACUCCGCUAGAAGCGUCAACGCUGCGCGCCGUAAACGCACAGGAUGUAGUUUCUUUUGUGUCAUCUCCUGCACGCCGUACGGAGCGAAAGUACAUGUGAUUUGACCGAGUACUACAUUAAACAGACUUGUCCUGUUUGGAGAAACUAUGGGCUGGUGAUCCAGGGACUUUGAUAUCAUGGACAGUGACUGCUUAUCUUUGCUACCAGAGGUCUGCCUGGUCCUGGCCGACCCCCAGCAGUCUCCACCCGAUGACACCUCUUUAGAGAAGCUGCUUGAUUGGUUCAAAGAGCUGCAUAUCCAAAGUAAUGGACAGGUGCUUUUGCAGCAUCAGCCGUGUCUCUUGGAGUUUAUUUCUAGUGUUUGUACGUCUAAAACUACAGAUCCUGCUAUCAUUUCUUUCACCCUCAAACUCACUGGACUUCUGGCUGCCACCAAACAGGGCUUCCAUUUGC